AAAGAGAGACCAGAGAGGUAGGAGGAGGGAAGAAGAGAGGGCGCAAAGAAAACAUAAGUUUUGAACGGUGUCAAGAAAAAGAGAUGGUGCUGACGGUAGAGAUUGGAAAGUAGGUGUCGGCAAGAAGAUAAGGCUUUUCGCUGUUGGAAUUUUUAUUCUUUUUUAUUUUUGUUUAUUUUUAGAGUUUUAAAUUGUUUUUUUUUUUUUUUAACUGAAGAAGGAAUAUUUAACGAAAAACUAACUAUAGUUAAAAGAUGAGUAAAAAGAUGAGAUACUUGGCUUGGCAUUCCGAUAGGCAUGGUGUGGCAUACACCGAAGUUUUAUGUGGGUAGCAAAAAUGCUCCCAUGAUUUUACUAAUUUUUUGAUGGGUUUUUGGUGUCCCGUGGGUCUCCACUCUUCCCUGUGCAUUCACUCUUUUCUUCACUACAUCACUCUUCCAUUCUCCUUCACGCAACCCAUCUUUCACUAACUCUCUCUACUUCUUCACUUUUUUGUUUUUUCAUUCUCUGUCAUCUUCCUCACCAUCUCUAUGCUCACUGCAUAGAAAACAGCAGCACCAUCUCCACCUCCUUCGCCACUCCGGUGAACCUUGCCACCACCCAAACAUCACACUGCCUCUCUCUCUCUCUCUCUCUCUCGGCUUCUUCCUUAACACAAAGAGAAGCACAUAAGGAAUGACGGUAAGGGAACUGUCGUUCUCCGGCAAGGCAACCACUAACUUUCUUCCUCUCAUCACCAUGGACUCCCAUUACUCUUUGCUUUUUGGAAACCAAAACCGACGCGGUGAAGUAACGAGCUCCGUCGCGGCCUGACUUUCUAGCGAGAUUUUUCGUCGAAUCUAGUAUAGUUUCAACUUGGGAGAAAUUCCCCAGAUUUCCGAUGAGGCCUGCGAGUUUCAGGCUAAUUUUAGGCUAUCACCGGCCGCCCAAUGGCCCUGAGGAAGCUGCAGGCCACAGUCGUAAUCGCGCGUGUGGAGCUAUGUGUGGUAUUGCUGGGGAUGGCGCGUGGAGCACAGACACCUCCACCGAAAGAUGAAUGGCUAAAAGGAAGAAUAUACGUUUGAAAUCAUUGCCUUGCUUUUUUUUUUUUUUUUUUUUUAAUUAGUUUAUAAUGUUGAUUACUUUGAUUGAGUCUGAUCUAUCAAGAAGAGAAACUAUGAGCAAUAUUUUCCUAUUCCGAUCUGAUGUUUUCAAAUGUUUGUUUCAAGUUGUAAGGUGUU